AUGAACGCUGGCUGCGUGCCUAAUACAUGCAAGUCGAGCGAACAGACGAGGAGCUUGCUCCUCUGACGUUAGCGGCGGACGGGUGAGUAACACGUGGAUAACCUACCUAUAAGACUGGGAUAACUUCGGGAAACCGGAGCUAAUACCGGAUAAUAUAUUGAACCGCAUGGUUCAAUAGUGAAAGACGGUUUUGCUGUCACUUAUAGAUGGAUCCGCGCCGCAUUAGCUAGUUGGUAAGGUAACGGCUUACCAAGGCAACGAUGCGUAGCCGACCUGAGAGGGUGAUCGGCCACACUGGAACUGAGACACGGUCCAGACUCCUACGGGAGGCAGCAGUAGGGAAUCUUCCGCAAUGGGCGAAAGCCUGACGGAGCAACGCCGCGUGAGUGAUGAAGGUCUUCGGAUCGUAAAACUCUGUUAUUAGGGAAGAACAAAUGUGUAAGUAACUAUGCACGUCUUGACGGUACCUAAUCAGAAAGCCACGGCUAACUACGUG
rnacentral:rRNA from 1 species